rnacentral:lncRNA from 1 species
GAUUCAAUGCACGUGGAGGCCAAUUCGAGGGGCAAAGGCGUCGCGAGCUAGAGUUUUAGCCGGUUUGAGGUGAGUAAUGAUUGUAAAUGAUACUCUGAGGGUUUGAAACCCCAGACUGCACAUCGUAGUGCUAUUUUGAUGUGAGACACACGUUUGAUGACGAGCGUGUGGUCGUAUACUAUUGGGGACUGUACUUGGUCCAUCCCGAUUGAUGAUUUUUACCGCGUAUUUGACUGAAACUUAUUUGCUAUCAUCAUACUUUGGGCUAAUUGCUAUAUUUGGGCUUCGUGCCAACUAUUUGAACCCUUCGGGAAUUUUUAUUACCAUUUCCUUACUAUUUUGAAUUAUUACUUGAACUCAGUCCCGUUAUUUUCCACUGUUUUACUACUCAGCCAUUUUUACUCAGUUUUGAGACUUAAAUAAUAUUUUAAAUGAUAUUUUGUGCUGAGAAAUACUAUUUUACUAUUGCCCGAGGGGCUUGUGAUGAUUUUCGAACUGAGUAAGGCCGAGGGCGUAGUUGUGAGGAUACACUGGUAUUGAUAUGAGGCCGAGGGCCUGAGAUACAUAUAUACGCCAUGAGGUGGCUUGAUUGAUAUGAGGCCGAGGGCCUAGAUUUGAUGCCACGAGAUGGCUUGAUAUUGCGCUUGGGCCGUAAGGGGCCCUUCUCGGAGUUUGUACACCCCAGUGAGCGUGGGUAGCCAUUGUGAUGUGAUAUUAAGCCUGAGGGGCUGGUACUGUUCUAAUAUUGAGCCCGAGGGGCUGUUACUGUUCUGAGAUGUUGUCCGGGGGGCGGGGGGGAUGUGUUGAUAUUGUACCCGAAGGCAAACUUCUAUUUGAUUACUUACCUGAUAAUUACUUGUUUUACUUGUUGAAAAAAGGAUCUUCACUUGACUUUUCAUUGUUUUACUGUUUUAAGUGAUUUUACUGCUUCAGUAUGGAAUGUCUUGUGUUUUACGUGAUUUCUUACUUUUAGUCAUUAUUUAUGCUUAUUACUCACUGGGUCAGAUUACUCACAUUACUCCCUGUACCAUGUGUGCAGAUUCAGGCAUUAUUGGUUCCGCUCCUGAGUGUUGAUUCCUCCAGUUCCAGGAGGCUUUCAGGGAUUACGAAGUAGUUGUUGACGUCCGCAGCCCCGUGUCUCUAUUAUCUUGUCAUUUCUAUUCCUUUAGAACAUUUGUACUAGUUAUUGGGUCUAGUAGACUUGUAUUAUGACUCGUAAAUGCUCAUGACUUGUGACACCCGGUUAGGGCUGUGUUGGGAUGGAUUCCCGCAUUGUUAUCUAUAUUUCUGUUAUUUAGUAUUUUUUAAACCAUGUUUAGACUAUAUUUGUGUUAAUUAACUGCUUUAAAAGAUGAAUUGGAUUUAACUGGCUGGUCUUGUCUUCACGAGAGGCGCCACCAUGAC